GAAACUAAGACAUUUGGGACUCCCAUGAAUUUUCCUCCUGCACUGGAGUGGAAGGUCUGGAAGCUCUCUGAGAUAAAACCAUUUCUGGAGGGUGUGGUGAAGCCAUUCAAAGAAACCCUGGAAUUUGACUUUCCCCUGCAGGAACCCGAUGUGACUCUGGAUCCAGACACUGCUCAUUGCAAACUCGUUCUGUCUGAGGAUCUCCAGACGGUGAGAUG